AGCGCCUGCCGCUGGUGCAGAGGGCCGCCGGCUGCACGGUGCCACACAGAGAAUACCAGCGUCUGAAAAGAAAGACCGACGUCCUUAAGAGGAGGCUGCGUGCAGAACGGGCUAGAAAUGUGAGGCUGCUGUCCGGAGACUCAGCUUAUCGGCUGUCUGCUCUGCGCCUGGCGACGCUCGCUCUAUCCAUACAGGAG